GAUGAACGCUGGCGGCGUGCCUAAUACAUGCAAGUCGAGCGAACGGACGAGAAGCUUGCUUCUCUGAUGUUAGCGGCGGACGGGUGAGUAACACGUGGAUAACCUACCUAUAAGACUGGGAUAACUUCGGGAAACCGGAUCUAAUACCGGAUAAUAUUUUGAACCGCAUGGUUCAAAAGUGAAAGACGGUCUUGCUGUCACUUAUAGAUGGAUCCGCGCUGCAUUAGCUAGUUGGUAAGGUAACGGCUUACCAAGGCAACGAUGCAUAGCCGACCUGAGAGGGUGAUCAGCCACACUGGAACUGAGACACGGUCCAGACUCCUACGGGAGGCAGCAGUAGGGAAUCUUCCGCAAUGGGCGAAAGCCUGACGGAGCAACACCGCGUGAGUGAUGAAGGUCUUCGGAUCGUAAAACUCUGUUAUUAGGGAAGAACAUAUGUGUAAGUAACUGUGCACAUCUUGACGGUACCUAAUCAGAAAGCCACGGCUAACUACGUG
rnacentral:rRNA from 1 species